AGCUUAGUUCUUUGGAGAAGCAGUGUGGAGUCCUAAAAAAGGAGGCUGAGUCUUACCGUUGAGGUCGGUGCCGGUAGAGAAUGGGAGGGAGUCUGCAGGAGCCAAGCACCCUAAAGAAGAGGAAGAGAGCACGUUGCUGAGAUUUGAACAGCGACCUGAGAGGUCAGACUGGACCCAGGCCUCCUCAAGACAGCUGCUGGAGCCUGUUGCUUUUUCACACCACAGAUACUUCAUGCUGCCUAAUAUUCUACCGAGCCAGCCUAGGGGACUUGGAUCUGUCUCGCCUGGGGCUAAGAGAAUAGUUUCUCUAAGAAGAAAACAGUUCUAAUUCAAAGAUGCUGGAUCUGGCUUCCUUUAAAGCCUGAAGUCGCUGAAGUGGCCAUAGAACUAUGGGGUCCAGAGGACUGCCAGUCUCAGCCAGCCUUUAGGCUGGAGAGAGGCUGUGGGCCUGCUUGGGGACUAAAAUGGAUGAAUAAGAAACCUGUAAGAAAUGUAAACAGAUGGAAUGGCAAGGAGGAGAGCGCUGGAGAUUGUUCAGGUGUGAGCUGAGGUUUCUGAGUUUGUACUGGGGAUGCCUUUGCACACAGUGAGGUGCCCCCUCCCUAAGUGGCUCUUGUUUUGCACAAACAGCCCCACCCUGCGCACACACUGUGGGUCUCAGUAGGGACUGAGGGUGUAGGUGCUCAGGUUUUGGGGGUGGUGGUGAAGGGGCACUCAGAAUCAACAAGACAGGGCGGGGAAAAUCAAAAUCAACCAAGGAACCAGCCUUCCAUUUCUGAAAAGCCGCGCUCUGGCCCCCGUGCUUCAGUUCUGAAAUACGAAUAAAUGGAGUCAGAUCCCGUACUACA
rnacentral:lncRNA from 1 species